rnacentral:lncRNA from 1 species
CUUUCUCCAUCCUUGUGUCUCUGCAGUUCAGUGACCUCAACACGGGAGGAGAAAUGUGUGUGUCCCAGAAGCCCCACAUGUUGGUCAAGCCAGCUGAGAAGGAGUUGUGCUGCACUGUGCUUGGGAAAUUCCUACAACUGGAGCACACUGUUCCUUUCCUCUCAGUUAAUAACCAAAAUCCGUUGAUGCCACUGGGAUGGAGAUGUGGUCCAUAUUACAAAUACUUGUCAUUCUUCUUCCCCUUUAAAAUUGUGAGUACUCUGGAUUGCUUUUAAUUGAAAUUCAACAUUUCUUUCUUCUUUAGAUCUUCGUGCCUGUAGCUUUAAAGAUUUAUUAAACCUUGGAGUAUUUUAAAAGUAAUUUUAAAAAUCUGUUCAACUUUAUAUAUAAUUUGAAGAGUAAUAGUAAUAUGUUAAUAAUGUCAAAAAUGAUUCCACACAGUCCGGUGCCCAGGCCUACAUUCUGAAAAC